rnacentral:rRNA from 1 species
AUUGAACGCUGGCGGCAUGCUUUACACAUGCAAGUCGAACGGGCUGGGGGCGAACUCCAGUCAGUGGCGAACGGGUGAGUAAUGCAUCGGAACGUGUCCCGUAGUGGGGAGUAACCCGGCGAAAGCCGGACUAAUACCGCAUAUGCUCUACGGAGGAAAGUGGGGGACCGCAAGGCCUCACGCUAUGGGAGCGGCCGAUGUCCGAUUAGCUUGUUGGUGGGGUAAUGGCCACCAAGGCGACGAUCGGUAGCUGGUCUGAGAGGAUGAUCAGCCACACUGGGACUGAGACACGGCCCAGACUCCUACGGGAGGCAGCAGUGGGGAAUUUUGGACAAUGGGGCAACCUGAUCCAGCCAUGCCGCGUGCGGGAAGAAGGCCU